rnacentral:rRNA from 1 species
CUCUGUGACUCCUACGGGAGGCAGCAGUGGGGAAUAUUGCACAAUCGGGCGCAAGCCUGAUGCAGCCAUGCCGCGUGUGUGAAGAAGGCCUUCGGGUUGUAAAGCACUUUCAGUUGUGAGGAAGGUGGUGUCGUUAAUAGCGGCAUCAUUUGACGUUAGCAACAGAAGAAGCACCGGCUAACUCCGUGCCAGCAGCCGCGGUAAUACGGAGGGGUGCGAGCGUUAAUCGGAAUUACUGGGCGUAAAGCGCAUGCAGGUGGUUUGUUAAGUCAGAUGUGAAAGCCCCGGGGCUCAACCUCGGAACUGCAUUUGAAACUGGCAGACUAGAGUACUGUAGAGGGGGUAGAAUUUCAGGUGUAGCGGUGAAAUGCGUAGAGAUCUGAAGGAAUACCGGUGGCGAAGGCGGCCCCCUGGACAGAUACUGACACUCAGAUGCGAAAGCGUGGGGAGCAAACAGGAUUAGACACCCUGGUGG